GGAAUAUUGGACAAUGGGCGAAAGCCUGAUCCAGCAACGCCGCGUGGAGGAUGAAGGUCUUCGGAUUGUAAACUCCUGUCAGGUGGGACGAAAAGACUUCGGUCAAUAGCCGGAGUUCAUGACGGUACCACCAGAGGAAGCCCCGGCUAACUCCGUGCCAGCAGCCGCGGUAAUACGGAGGGGGCGAGCGUUAUUCGGAAUCAUUGGGCGUAAAGGGCGCGUAGGCGGCCUGAUAAGUCAGGGGUGAAAUCCCUCGGAUCAACCGAGGAACUGCCCUUGAAACUGUCAGGCUUGAGGCCGGGAGAGGGUAGUGGAAUUCCGAGUGUAGCGGUGAAAUGCGUAGAUAUUCGGAGGAACACCAGUGGCGAAGGCGGCUACCUGGACCGGUUCUGACGCUGAGGCGCGAAAGCGUGGGGAGCA
rnacentral:rRNA from 1 species